UGCUCUGUGGAGGUGUUUGAUCGGUGGAAGGUUAUGAGGGAGAUGACCCAAUUUGGGGCUUGCAGAGCUUCAGACCACAUCAGUUGCAGACAUGAAAACAGAUGAAAUCGGCUUACAGACAGUUUAUGUCUGCAAAAACAAACAGCACCUAAAAUAUCUAAUUUUCAUAUGCUCGUCCUAAAUUAUGAUAACUUUGACCCGUUUACUAAAAAGUGAUAUGUUUUACCAAUUUACUAAAAACAACAAUUUUGACAAUUCACUAAAGUUAUAAUCUCGACCGAUUUAUAAAAUUUAAAGUUAAAGAUUAAAAUAAAAUUGUCUCUGUUCAUCAAUAAUUUGGAAAUUUGAUCUAUUGUUAGCACACCAUAUCCUCAAUAAAUACAAAAAUAGAUAAAAGAUACGGAUGCACCAAUAUAGAUUUAUGAAGUAUAAUUCUCUAUAUUUUAUGGUA
rnacentral:lncRNA from 1 species